AGCAUGAAACACAUACAUGUUGUAUGUUAAUAUAUAUUACAAAAUACUCUUCAAAAGUUUGGGGUCAGUAAGAUUUUGUAAUGUUUUUGAAAGAAGUCUCUUAUGCUCAGCAAGGCUCCUUUUUACAGUAAAACAGUAAUAUUAUGAAAUAUUAUUACAAUUUACAUUUUUUUUUUUUUUGUUAAUGUAUUUUAAAAUUUAUCCUUGAGAUGUCAAAGCUGAAUUUUCAGCAUCAUUAUUCCAGUGCUCAGUGUCACAUGAUCCUUUAUUCUAAUAUGCUGAUUUGGUGCUCAAGCAACAUUACUUAUUGUGAUCAAUGUUGAAAACUAUGAAGCUUGUUUCCUCCAUGGAAUAAAAAAUAAAAAAGGUAAUUGCAACCUUUUUUUCCUCACAAUUCUGACUCUUUUUUUUUUUUUUUUUUUUCAGAAUUGUGAUUUUAAAAAGUCUGAAUUAUGAGAUAUAAACUCAAAAUUCUGAGGGAAAAGUCAGAAUUGUGAAAUAAACUCGUAACUGCGAGAAAGUAAGAAUUUUGAGAUAAAAAAAUCACAAUUAUCUUUUUUAUCUAUUGUUUUAUUCCAAAAAAAACUUGCUGACCCCAACUUUUGAAUAGUCUGUAGGACAGUCUAAACUGACUCUGCUUGUGUGGUGUCGUCUUCCACUGGUCCGUGGCGAGGUCCGUUGAAAGAAGACAUUACUGGGAAGCAGUGCCGAGUCAGAUUGAGUAGAGCGCUUCCUACUGGACACUGGUUCAGAUACUUGAUCUCGCACUUUGAAUCUGGGAAAACAGCCACCGUGAGGCAGACUACAGGAGGAGCCAUAGUUGACCUGCAGCAGAGGCUUAUAGGAUGGAUGAGCAGGAAUAGAAGGGGCAGGAUGUGUGCUACUUAAGAAGAAAUUCCCCAAGUUUCCCACUGAAACAACAAAGGACACUAUUUCUAUACUUUGCUAUCCACUGCUG